rnacentral:rRNA from 1 species
AUUGAACGCUGGCGGCAGGCUUAACACAUGCAAGUCGAGCGGAGAUGAGGUGCUUGCACCUUAUCUUAGCGGCGGACGGGUGAGUAAUGCUUAGGAAUCUGCCUAUUAGUGGGGGACAACAUUCCGAAAGGAAUGCUAAUACCGCAUACGUCCUACGGGAGAAAGCAGGGGAUCUUCGGACCUUGCGCUAAUAGAUGAGCCUAAGUCGGAUUAGCGAGUUGGUGGGGUAAAGGCCUACCAAGGCGACGAUCUGUAGCGGGUCUGAGAGGAUGAUCGGCCACACUGGUACUGAGACACGGCCCAGACUCCUACGGGAGGCAGCAGUGGGGAAUAUUGGACAAUGGGGGAAACCCUGAUCCAGCCAUGCCGCGUGUGUGAAGAAGGCCUUAUGGUUGUAAAGCACUUUAAGCUAGGAGGAGGCUACUGAGACUAAUACUCUUGGAUAGUGGACGUUACUCGCAGAAUAAGCACCGGCUAACUCUGUGCCAGCCGCCGCAGUAA